UACGUAGGGUGCAAGCGUUAAUCGGAAUUACUGGGCGUAAAGCGUGCGCAGGCGGCUUUGCAAGACAGAUGUGAAAUCCCCGGGCUUAACCUGGGAACUGCAUUUGUGACUGCAUGGCUAGAGUGCGGCAGAGGGGGAUGGAAUUCCGCGUGUAGCAGUGAAAUGCGUAGAUAUGCGGAGGAACACCGAUGGCGAAGGCAAUCCCCCUGGGCCUGCACUGACGCUCAUGCACGAAAGCGUGGGGAGCAAACAGG
rnacentral:rRNA from 1 species